rnacentral:tRNA from 1 species
GCUUCUAUAGUUUAAAAAAAACAUUGAUUUUGUAAAUCAAAAAUAUAAUAAAUAUUAUAAGUA